rnacentral:rRNA from 1 species
GGCGGGGCGGGGGCACGGGGGGCCUACGGGAGGCAGCAGUGGGGAAUCUUGCGCAAUGGGGGCAACCCUGACGCAGCCAUACCGCGUGAGUGAUGAAGGUCUUCGGAUUGUAAAGCUCUUCGGCGGGGACGACGAUGACGUACCCGCAAUGAKACCWCCCCCC